GCCGCGGCACGGGGCGCGCGGGAACUGGGGGCCGCAGCGGCGCCGCUGAGCACGCCCCAGGCGGGGCGGGGACGGCGCGAUGCCGUGGUUCCCGGUGAAGAAGGUCCGCAAGCAGAUCAAGCUGCUGCUGCUGCUGCUGCUGCUCACCUGCGCCGCGUGGCUCACGUACGUGCACCUGAGCCUGGUGCGCCAGGGCCGCGCGCUGCGCCAGCGGCUGGGCUACGGGCGAGACGGUGAGAAGCUGAGCGGAGUGACCGAGGGCAGGGGCGUCCGUGCUGCGCUGUCCACGCACAGGGCAGAGGACUCCAGCGAGAGCCGAGAGGAGGAGCAGGUGGUGAGCGGGGCCGCGGGCAAGAAUGUGCUGCGCCGGGCCCAGGCCCCGAGGCCACGCACGGGCUGGUGUGUGGAUGCAGGGGUGCGGCUGGCUGGCACCCGUGUGGCCUGGCCCGAGUUCCGUCCGUGCGGAUGCAGGUGGUGCCUCGCAGGCUGGCCCAGGGUGCGGCUGGCAGGCAUGUUGGGGCUGUCAGGACGUGUCGCCUGGGGGACGGUGGACUUGGGGCUUUCCAGCUGGCGGCGUGCAGGGCAGUCCUUGUGCUGUUUGUGUCGGGCUGUGUGUGCUUGUGUGACCCCUACCUGCCCUCCGUGUCUCAGCGUUGACCCCGUUGACCCCGGUGCCUUUUCUCUCCUGGAGUCUGAAGGCCGGGACCCAAACCUGCCGUUCCCUGCAGGGGCCAGAAAACCGCCCCCUCUGAACCUCACUCAUCAGGUGCCCCCGUGGUGGGAAGAGUACAAGGGGCAGGCGAACCUGCACGUCUUUGAGGACUGGUGUGGAGGCGCCGUAGGCCAUCUGAGGAGGAACCUGCACUUCCCGCUCUUCCCCCACACCCGCACCACCGUCAAGAAGUUGGCUGUGUCCCCCAAGUGGAAGAACUACGGACUACGGAUUUUCGGCUUCAUCCACCCAGCGAGAGAUGGAGACGUCCAGUUCUCUGUGGCUUCAGAUGACAACUCUGAGUUCUGGCUGAGCCCAGACGAGAGCCCGGCGGGCGCCCAGCUGGUGGCCUACGUGGGCAAGACCGGCUCAGAGUGGACGGCACCUGGAGAAUUCACCAAGUUCAGCUCCCAGGUGUCCAAACCCAAGCGGCUCAUGGCCUCCCGAAGGUACUACUUUGAGCUGCUGCACAAACAGGAUGACCGAGGCUCGGACCAUGUGGAAGUGGGCUGGCGAGCCUUCUUGCCGGGCCUGAAGUUUGAGGUCAUCGGCUCUGCUCACAUCUCCCUGUACACAGAUGAAUCAUCCCUGAAGAUGGACCAUGUAGCACACGUGCCCCAGUCUCCAGCUAGCCACGUGGGGGGGCACCUGCCGCAGGAGGAGCCCAGAGCUGACAUGCUGCGCCCAGACCCCCGAGACACCUUCUUCCUCACGCCCCGGGUGGAGCCUUCCAGCCUGGAGAAUGUGCUGGAGCCCUGCGCCUACGCCCCCACCUACGUGGUCAAGGACUUUCCCAUUGCGAGAUACCAGGGCCUGCAGUUUGUGUACCUGUCCUUCGUCUACCCCAACGACCACACGCGCCUCACUCACAUGGAGACUGAAAACAAAUGCUUCUACCGGGAGUCGCCGCUGUACCUGGAGAGGUUCGGGUUCUAUAAGUACAUGAAGAUGGACAAGGAGGAGGGCGAGGAGGACGAGGAGGACGACGUGCAGCGCCGGGCCUUCCUCUUUCUCAACCCGGAUGACCUCCUGGACGACGAGGACGAGGGGGAGCUGCUGGACAGUCUGGAGCCCACGGAGGCGUCCCCCCCACGCGGCGGCCGCCUCCCCUCGGCCGCGGCCCCCACCCCGCCGAGCCCCAGGCGCUCCCGGGCGCUGAGCUGGGCCGCGCGCCCCCCGCCCCUGCUGCUGGGCCGCGCCCCGCGCCCCCGAGCCGCGCCCGCGCCGCCCAAGGUGUACGUGACCCGCGUGCGCCCCGGACCGCGCGCGCCCCCUCGGGCCCUGGCGCACCUGGGCCUGCGCAGCCCCCCGCGGCCGCCCUUCCCCGGCGGCUUCCUCCGCCCCCGGCCGCUCCCCCGCAUGCAGCUGCGGGCGCCCCCCCGGCCGCCCCGGCCUGGGCCCCGGCCUCCAGGCCGCAGGACCGGCCGCCCCCAGGCCGCGCAGACGCGGACCCCCGCCCAGGCGCAGGCCACGCGGGGCAGCCGGGAAGGCCAGGCGCGCGUGCCCGCCCUCGCCGCGCCCACCGCGGGCUUGAACUCGACGUCUGAAGCACAGCCCGUGACUUCCUUCCUGAGCUUGUCCCAGGUGUCCGGGCCGCAGCUGCCUGGGGAGGACGAGCAGGAGGAGGAGGAGGCGGACGAGGACGGGGCCCCGGGCGCCGAGGACAGCGACGAGGCGGCGGGGCCCCCGCGCGGCCGCUGGCGCGAGGACGCCAUUGACUGGCAGCGCACGUUCAGCGUGGGCGCCGUGGACUUCGAGCUGCUGCGCUCCGACUGGAACGACCUGCGCUGCAACGUGUCGGGGAACCUGCAGCUGCCCGAGGCCGAGGCCGUGGACGUGGUGGCUCAGUACAUGGAGCGGCUGAACGCGCGCCACGGCGGGCGCUUCGCGCUCCUGCGCAUCGUGAACGUGGAGAAGCGCCGAGACUCGGCCCGCGGCAGCCGCUUCCUGCUGGAGCUGGAGCUGCAGGAGCGCGGGGGUGGCCGCCGGCGCCUGUCGGAGUACGUGUUCCUGCGGCUGCCCGGGGCGCAUGCCGGGGAUGGGGACACCGACGCCGAGCCCGACGCGCCAAGCCCCGAGCCCGCCCCCACGCGCCCCGACGGCCGCCCCGAGCUCUGCCGGCCGCUGCACCUGGCCUGGCGCCAGGACGUGACAGUGCACUUCAUCGUGCCAGGCCCGUCCUCCCCCAGUGAAGAACCAGGCACGCUGGGUGGCACAGUUCCUGGCGGACAUGGCCGCCCUGCACGCCCGCACCGGGGACUCGCACUUCAGUGUCAUCCUGGUGGACUUCGAGAGCGAGGACAUGGAUGUGGAGCGGGCCCUGCGCGCCGCCCGCCUGCCCCGGUAACCAUGCCCGCACCCCCGCCUCCUGGGGGCCGCAGGGUUCCCUCUGCGCCCCGGGGCCACGCCUGUGACUUCCCGCCCGCUGUCCCUCGUCCCUUCAUCCCCCCCCAGGUACCAGUACCUGAGGCGAACCGGAAACUUCGAGCGCUCCGCGGGCUUGCAAGCUGGCGUGGACGCCGUGGCGGACGCCAGCAGCAUCGUCUUCCUGUGCGACCUGCACAUCCACUUCCCGCCGAACAUCCUGGACGGCAUCCGCAAGCACUGUGUGGAGGGCAAGCUGGCCUUCGCGCCCGUGGUCAUGCGCCUGGGCUGCGGGAGCUCUCCGGGGGACCCGCACGGUUACUGGGAGGUGAAUGGCUUCGGCCUCUUCGGGAUCUACAAGUCAGACUUUGACCGGGUUGGAGGCAUGAACACCGAGGAGUUCCGCGACCAGUGGGGGGGUGAGGACUGGGAGCUCCUAGACAGGGUCCUGCAGGCAGGGCUGGAGGUGGAGCGGCUCCGACUGAGGAAUUUCUACCACCACUACCACUCCAAGCGGGGCAUGUGGGGCACGCGCAGCCGGAAGGGCUCCCGCGGGGGGGGCCCGUGACCAGGCCGCCCGCCUGGCUGCGCCCCGAGGUGGCGGCUGGGGGCCGGGCCCCGGGCCUGGUCCGGGGCGACACAGGGCCCCUCGCAGGGCACCGCCACCACCGUGCCUGGCCCGCGCGGCCACCCCGCGCCCCUCGCCGCGAGGCAGCCUUCACAGCUGCGUGGGGCCCGCCGGUCUCCACACCCUGUGCGAUGAUUUCUGUGAAAUUUUGCCGUAGCGACGACAUUGUUUUCAGGAUUUCCAAGAGUUAUGUCUGUUCCGUUUUUUAUUCAGAAUGAAAUGAAAUAUUUUUUUUAGUUCUGA